AGUGGCGAACGGGUGAGUAACACGUGGGAAACCUAUCUCUUAGCAGGGGAUAACAUUUGGAAACAGAUGCUAAUACCGUAUAACAAUAGCAACCGCAUGGUUGCUACUUAAAAGAUGGUUCUGCUAUCACUAAGAGAUGGUCCCGCGGUGCAUUAGUUAGUUGGUGAGGUAAUGGCUCACCAAGACGAUGAUGCAUAGCCGAGUUGAGAGACUGAUCGGCCACAUUGGGACUGAGACACGGCCCAUACUCC
rnacentral:rRNA from 1 species